AAUGGAGAGUUUGAUCCUGGCUCAGGAUGAACGCUGGCGGCGUGCCUAAUACAUGCAAGUCGAACGCUUCACAUAUGUGAAGAGUGGCGAACGGGUGAGUAAUACAUAAGUAACCUGGCCUUUACAGGGGGAUAACURUUGGAAACGAUAGCUAAGACCGCAUAGGUGUCAUAACCGCAUGGAGAUGAUAUGAAAUAUGCUACGGCAUAGGUAGAGGAUGGACUUAUGGCGCAUUAGCUAGUUGGAGGGGUAACGGCCCACCAAGGCGACGAUGCGUAGCCGACCUGAGAGGGUGACCGGCCACACUGGGACUGAGACACGGCCCAGACUCCUACGGGAGGCAGCAGUAGGGAAUUUUCGGCAAUGGGGGAAACCCUGACCGAGCAACGCCGCGUGAAGGAAGAAGUAAUUCGUUAUGUAAACUUCUGUCAUAGAGG
rnacentral:rRNA from 1 species